GCCCGGUGCGGUGGAGCGUGCCUGUAGUCCCAGCUGCUUGGGAGACUGAGGUGGGAGGAUCUCUUGAGCCUAGGAGUUCUGGGCUGUAGUGCAUUAUGCCGAUCAGGUGUCCACAUUAAGUUCGGCAGCAAUAUGGUGAUCUCUCGGGAGCGAGGGAUCACCAGGUUGCCUAAGGAGGGGUGAACCGGCUCAGGUCGGAAACGGAGCAGGUCAAAAUUCCUGUGCUGAUCAGUAGUGGCAUCGCGCCUGUGAAUAGCCACUGCACUCCAGCCCGGGCAACAUAGCAAGACCCCGUCUCU
rnacentral:SRP_RNA from 1 species